CUAGCGACUUCAGAGUUUGAUCCUGGCUCAGGAUAAACGCUGGCGGCGCACAUAAGACGUGCAAGUCGAACGGACUUAACCAUUAGUUUACUAUUGGAGCGGUUAGUGGCGGACUGGUGAGUAACACGUAAGCAACCUGCCUAUCAGAGGGGAACAACAGUUAGAAACGACUGCUAAUACCGCAUAUGCCUUGAGUAUCGCAUGAUACAAGAGGGAAAGGAGCAAUCCGCUGAUAGAUGGGCUUGCGUCUGAUUAGAUAGUUGGUGGGGUAACGGCCUACCAAGUCAACGAUCAGUAGCCGGACUGAGAGGUUGAACGGCCACAUUGGGACUGAGAUACGGCCCAG
rnacentral:rRNA from 1 species